AACGCUAGCUACAGGCUUAACACAUGCAAGUCGCGGGGCAGCAUGAAUUUAGCUUGCUAAAUUUGAUGGCGACCGGCGCACGGGUGAGUAACGCGUAUCCAACCUUCCCCUGUCCACGGGAUAGCCCGUCGAAAGGCGGAUUAAUACCGUAUGAGGUCACACGAUGGCAUCAGACUGUGACGAAAGGUUUGGCGGACAGGGAUGGGGAUGCGUCCGAUUAGGUAGUCGGCGGGGUAACGGCCCACCGAGCCGACGAUCGGUAGGGGUUCUGAGAGGAAGGUCCCCCACAUUGGAACUGAGACACGGUCCAAACUCCUACGGGAGGCAGCAGUGAGGAAUAUUGGUCAAUGGACGUAAGUCUGAACCAGCCAAGUAGCGUGCAGGACGACGGCCCUAUGGGUUGUAAACUGCUUUAGUGUGGGAAUAAAGUCAGGGACGUGUCCCUGAUUGCAGGUACCGCAAGAAUAAGGACCGGCUAAUUCCGUGCCAGCAGCCGCGGUAAUACGGAGGAUGCGAGCGUUAUCCGGAUUUAUUGGGUUUAAAGGGUGCGUAGGCGGAUUGUUAAGUCAGUGGUCAAAACGGGAGGCUCAACCUUCUGUCGCCAUUGGAACUGGCAGUCUUGAGUGAGCGAGAAGUAUGCGGAAUGCGUGGUGUAGCGGUGAAAUGCAUAGAUAUCACGAAGAACUCCGAUUG
rnacentral:rRNA from 1 species